UACGGGGGGGGCAAGCGUUGUUCGGAAUUACUGGGCGUAAAGGGCUCGUAGGCGGCCAACUAAGUCAGACGUGAAAUCCCUCGGCUUAACCGGGAACUGCGUCUGAUACUGGAUGGCUUGAGUUUGGGAGAGGGAUGCGGAAUUCCAGGUGUAGCGGUGAAAUGCGUAGAUAUCUGGAGGAACACCGGUGGCGAAGGCAGGUCUCUGGGCCGAUGAACUGACG
rnacentral:rRNA from 1 species